AGCUCGAUAGCGCAACGGUAGCGUCUCUGUUCUUGAUAUUGGGUUGAUGUGGACCUUAUGGUUGACGGAUAAUCUCGUUUCGACUCCGAGUCGAGCUA